rnacentral:lncRNA from 1 species
AGCCACAUGCUGUCUCUCUGCCCUGGCCUCUUCCACCCCAUGCCCAGUCAGAGACCGUUUUGAGGCAUUGCGACUGCCCUUGGUUCAGUUCCGGGAAGUGUGGCUGCCCUUCUGAGACCCUCAACUGCUCCUCCUGCCACCACACAGCCGACGAAUGGAACUGGCUUGAUGCGUGCUCCAGGAAGACUAUGGGGUACCUGAUGAGGACAAGAGAGUCUAUGACCUCUGACACUGUGCUCUGGUGGUUGGGCAUGAACUCAGGGAGCGAGCUUGGGAAAUUGUGGAGGAAGCUGUUUAAAGGGAUUCCCAGGCUCUCGGUGAGCCAUUUUGAUUUCUAUUGUGGGACUUGUGUGCUGUUGGGGCGCCCACAGAUCCCGCAGGGC